CCUACGGGAGGCAGCAGUGAGGAAUAUUGGUCAAUGGACGAGAGUCUGAACCAGCCAAGUAGCGUGAAGGAUGACUGCCCUAUGGGUUGUAAACUUCUUUUAUAUGGGAAUAAAAUGUUCCACGUGUGGGAUUUUGUAUGUACCAUAUGAAUAAGGAUCGGCUAACUCCGUGCCAGCAGCCGCGGUAAUACGGAGGAGCCGAGCGUUAUCCGGAUUUAUUGGGUUUAAAGGGAGCGUAGGUGGAUUAUUAAGUCAGUUGUGAAAGUUUGCGGCUCAACCGUAAAAUUGCAGUUGAAACUGGCAGUCUUGAGGACAGUAGAGGUGGGCGGAAUGCGUGGUGUAGCGGUGAAAUGCUUAGAUAUCACGAAGAACUCCGAUUGCGAAGGCAGUUCACUGGACUGCAACUGACACUGAGGCUCGAAAGUGUGGGUAUCAAACAGGAUUAGAUACCCCAGUAGUC
rnacentral:rRNA from 1 species